UACGUAGGGACCAAGCGUUGUUCGGAUUUACUGGGCGUAAAGGGCGCGUAGGCGGCGUGACAAGUCACUUGUGAAAUCUCCGGGCUUAACCCGGAGCGGCCAAGUGAUACUGUUGUGCUAGAGUGCGGAAGGGGCUACUGGAAUUCUCGGUGUAGCGGUGAAAUGCGUAGAUAUCGAGAGGAACACCUGCGGCGAAGGCGGGUAGCUGGGCCGACACUGACGCUGAGGAGCGAAAGCGUGGGGAGCGAACAGG
rnacentral:rRNA from 1 species